rnacentral:lncRNA from 1 species
CUUGCAAAUUUCCUUACUAUAAAACGACAGCCCAUUAUGAAGAUCAAACACCAAAUAAUUAGUACUAAUGAAAAUAAAAUUAGGCCCAUUCAAGAUGAUAAACUGUUGAAGCACUUUAGACCAAAGGAAUAAAAUUGGCCCAAUAUAAUAAAUUCCCGGCCCAAGUAGAAGUCCAAACUAGUCAUUCAAAAUUUUUUCAUUGACAAGUAGCUUCUACUGGCACACAAAAGCAAGCAAAAGUGCACAUUUAUUGCAAAACCUUUAUUUGACAGCAAAGCCUGCAAGAAAGCUUUAAAGGACCACCAACCUUUGUUUGAACACACCAUCACCGUUACUACCUUGUCACUAUCAAUUUAAUGCUCUCCAUAGACAAAAAUGAGCGUUGUGUUGCCUAGUGUAUAUUACGAGAGUCGUACCAAAGGUUAAUGCAGCGGUGGUCGCCGGAGUUCAUAGUGCGCCAUAGUUAACUGAACAGCCGUAGUUGGAGGAGAAAUCUUGAUCAAGGCAUUUGGUCAAACAACUUUUGGGCAUUUUCAUAAUCUGAAUUUUUUUCUCGAUAAAUUGCAUCCUUGUUAAACCAUGAAUGGGGAAAAAAAGAUGAAGUGGUUUUCUCAUGAGAUUAAUCUGGUGAAUGCUAGCAUGAAUUUCCUUUUUCCUCUUGACCUCUCCUAUGGAAUGAGCAUAUUUUCCCUGAAAAUGUCAAUAUCCUCAGUGUACUUCCUUCUUUUCUCUCUGGUAACUUCUUACUCCAUUCUUGUCAUCUGGCUAAUUUAAUUUCUUGUCAAAUGCUCCACUUUUGAUGCCAAGAGUCAUAAUUUAUUCUUCUUCUUCUCUUUAAAUUUGCUGGUAGAGGAUGCUAUAAUAUAAGAAAAAAUUAAACUCGUUCGAUCCUCAACUCUUCUUAGUUCAAUCGUCUUGUAGCUGGUUUUGUAUUUCAUUUGGUGUUGAGUCCAAAAAAUGGAUGAACAUAGCUGAAUACAGAGCAAAACAAAGCCUCUUUCUUUGACAAAUCCCUUUGCCAUUUUUCCUUCUCUUUGGUAGAGAAACUGCUCAGAAAAACCACAUUUUUUCCAUCGCUAUCUUUACUCUUUUUCAGUAGAAAUAUGUCUGGAAACCAUAUUUCCCGAUGGCUUUUUUGGAAUGUGGUGAGAAACAUGGUUCACAUAGCGAUUCCCACAUACGGCGCCAAUCUGUUGACCCCAAAAAAUAUCGCCAACAGAUCCUCGACCUUGUCUCUUCCCCGUGGAUAUCACCUACACACGAAAUACCUCGUUAAGAUGCAAAGGCCACCAGUCGAAAAAAAUGUCCAACAACCAUUUGCACUCCAAUAAUCAAAUCAACGACCAGAUGAAAAGAAAAUAAAGAGUGCGAGAGUCAGAAUAGGAUAUUUAGCUAGGGUUUAGAAAAUAUACCUUAAGUUGUGUGAACGAGCUCCUACAUAUAGAGAAAUUAAAUGAGAUGGGCCAAGCAGGUCAUGGGCUAAGUCCAAGUCAAGUCCAAAAGAAAGGCCCAAUGUGAAAAGAUUUAUAUGUAUAACAAUAGUCUUCCAAGUCUGAGUUGUAUAUUUAUAUGCGGGUUGGACUUGAAAUAUGAACUGUCAAAUAGGCAAUGCUCCG